UAGCAGCAGAAUCGUUUACUUGAGUAGUAGCAGAGACCAGCCGUCAAUCAGUAGCUGACCAGCGCUCGUAGUAACGUGAUUGUAUUAUUUCGUGUGAAGUGAAAACACUCGUGCGGUUACAAUACGGUAAAAUAAUAUCAACAGAACUAUGCCCAAGUAAAAUCCGAAUCGCAUUGAUAACUGUUCCAUUGACUGGACGACGAAUAGAUUAACCUCGUAACCGAUGGCGUUAGCAGUGUUUCCGACGCCAGACUGUGAUUAAAGCAAUAGUGUAGUGUCCGGUGUCGUGAUAAGUUUACCAAUAUUAACAGGACAACAACAUCGCUAACGCUGAGCUGAUAAGGAAAAAUCAUGCUGAAAACAGCAGCCCUUCACCAAUCCGGGAUCGACUAAGUUCAUCUUCAGCUGGCAUUAUAAUUGAAGCCUUCGCUGUGUGUCUGAACCACGGAAUAUAUUCAAGACCUUAUCGGCUUGCACUGAAUGUUAAGCAGUAUAAUACGCGCUGAUAAAAACUUGGCCAUUGGCCUUAAACAUAUCCAGCAUUGCGUGCGAAGCUGUUUUGUCGAGUCUGAUUUCCGAGGACAAAAUUAGCCUGCGAAUCAACACAUUAGAAACAUCAUCUGUUGUGGUGGCGCUAUUAGCGACUGCAAAUUUUCAACAGUGCAAGCUCUAGUGUGGACAGCUGGGCGCCACAAAAUCACUGCGCGAAGAUGAGUGGCGACAAAGUGAGAAAGGAUGCCUCACAGGUGGAAAACGGAACUUUAGCAGCUACUGACGAGAGUCAGCAUUCGAACGGUGGGAAAAUUGUGAUCCGUUCGUCUCCAGGCGAUCUGAAGCAGGUUGUCUUGGAUGGGCUGGAGAAAAAGGGAGACCGCGGCAUUUGGUUAUGGACUCUCUUCAUACUGUGCCUUACACCGAACAUACUCAAUGGUUUCCACGUGUCGUCCUAUGUUUUUCUGGGUAAGAUGCCCGAAAACUACUACUGCGUGGUGCCGGAUCUAAUGCAGAAAGGUUGGACACACGACGAGAUUCGGAAUAUUUCCACCGUUGGCGGCGUGAACCAAAACGGAACAUGUACAAUUCUGAACUGGGACUACAGCCAUCUGGCGGAGAUGAAUUACGUAGACGCAAUCGCUUAUGUUUCCCAACAGCAGCGACCCGGUCUGGUGUCAUGUCUUGGCACGCCGGGUUUCGAAAUGCACUACGAACAGCGACCGGGAGCUUCAAUUGUCCCCGAGUGGAAUUUGAUCUGCGAGCGGACCGCUUUGAGAUCCACUGUACAGGUGGCCCUAUCGGUUGGAAAGUUUUUCGGUGCUUCCACCUUUGGUGUUCUGUCGGACAAGUAUGGGCGAAAAAGUAGCUUUACGGUUGCCGCUCUGCUGUACGUUGUGGCCAGCUUGCUUACGACAUUUUCUCCGUACUACAUUCUGUUACUGCUGGGUCGUAUCGGAUUGGGUGCGUCAGCUUCGGGCGUAUUCUAUCCAGCGUUUGCAUUACUGACGGAGAACAUAGGCGUUCGGCACCGCUCGUGGAUGAGCAUCGCUUUCAAUUUUUCCUAUCCAAUAGGAAUGUUGAUUCUUGCGCUGGCAGCUUACUAUAUAGACCCGUGGCGUGAUUUAUCCCUAGCUCUAACCAUUCCUUCCUUCCUGCUGGUCAUUCAUCUCUAUUUUCUUGUCGAAUCACCUCGUUGGUUGCUGAGCAAGGGUCGGGAACGUCGUGCUUAUCGCAUGGUCUUUGGCCGCAAAGCUCCUCAAGAACUGUGUGAUAGUGAUAGGGAGCUAAGUGCAGAAGAGGUGUCAGCAGCAGCUGCUAAAAAUGUAGAUGCACCGAAAAUUCCGUUGGGUGUCCGCAUCAAACAAACAUUCAGCGAGUUCACGAAACUAUACGGAACACCAAAGCUUUGCCGCCGAGCCUUGAUUUGCCACUUCACCUGGUGCGUAACAUCACUCUGCUAUUACGUGACAGCGCUUAAUGCAGAUAAUUUCGCAGCCAACAGGAAUGUUUACGUUGCUACCACGGGCUCUGUUGAUAUUUUGGCUUAUAUUGUAUCGAUGAUAGUGCUAGCCUACUUUGGCCGUAAGAGCACUUCAUUUUGUUUCUUCUUAUAUGCCGGUAUUUGUCUGCUGGUAGUCCUAGCAAUACCUAAAGAAAGCACUGUCGUCCUGGUCACCCUAGCUAUGCUAGGACGGUUGGGAAUUACAGCGGUUUACGCAGUAGUGACUCUACAUACGGCCGAGCUGUUUCCUACGGAAAUUCGUAACACUGCCCUUGGCAUCUGCUCGACGAUGGCCCACGUGGGUUCGAUAGCUGCACCCUACAUCGUUGAUCUACUCGGUCAACUGGCCUGGUGGAUUCCAACCACUAUAUGUGGUAUCGCGGUCCUGAUUGCCGGUGUCUGCACCUUGCUGCACCCGGAAACUAGGGAUGCGGCGCUAAAGGACCACGCGAAACAGGAAGCAGAUGCAAUAGGCGACAAGGAACCAAUGAAGCAGUAGCAUUUAGUGGAGGUAUGCUUUUCUAACUGCUAAAAAUGGCGUGGAACUGAAAAUCGAAACGAGAAAUCGAAAGUUUGUAAUCACACAAAUGUACAUGAAAACUAAAAGAUUAGUAAAGCAAGUCACACACUUGUGCAAUACCUCACUUGCACUGAGCUCCAAGGUAAAACUGAUGCGUUCCUAAGAGAAGCUGAAGUCGCGUCUUGAGACAGCCACACCCAGUAUCAUGCGAAAUUAAUUUGAGCACCGUGUAAGAUGUUUCUAUCAAGUGGAGAGGAUAGCUGACAUUGACCAACUAGAGCGCUAUUGGAAUCUCCAAGUCAAGUUACACUAGCUCGAUCAUACAUGCGUACUCAACUAGAUUAAAGCAUCCAAUUGACAAGAUCUAUUCUAUCAGCAUCGGCACAAAACAUUCCAUGAUUCCCUCCUUCGCAGGACUUUUGACCAAGUUAUCGAUGUCUCGUUCGAAGAACGUAUCAAAACUGUGACAUUCAUCUUCCCGCAUAAUUUUGAUUGAAUUAUAGUAAUGAAAGUGACAUGUCAAUCAUUUCAUUGAGCGAAUGUUUGUGAUUAUGUUUUAAGAAUUUAAUAAACGACUAACGAACUAA